UACAGAGGGCGCGAGCGUUGUCCGGAAUCACUGGGCGUAAAGGGCGCGUAGGUGGCCACUAUAAGGCUGCGGUGAAAGUUCGGGGCUCAACCCCGAAUCUGCCGCGGCGACUGUAGGGCUUGGGCACCGUAGAGGCAGAUGGAAUUCCGGGUGUAGCGGUGGAAUGCGUAGAGAUCCGGAAGAACACCAGUGGCGAAGGCGGUCUGUUGGGCGGUGGGAGCGCAAGCUCCUCUUAGCCGACACUGAGGCGCGACAGCGUGGGGAGCAACAGG
rnacentral:rRNA from 1 species